rnacentral:tRNA from 1 species
GUGGUUAUAGUUCAAUUGGUAGAGCAACUGUAUGUGGAACAGUUAGUUCCCUGUUCAAAUCAGGGUAUCCACCCUUUA